rnacentral:rRNA from 1 species
GACGAACGCUGGCGGCGUGCCUAAUACAUGCAAGUCGAGCGAAGUUUUUCUGGUGCUUGCACUAGAAAAACUUAGCGGCGCACGGGUGAGUAACACGUAAAGAACCUGCCUCAUAGACUGGGACAACUAUUGGAAACGAUAGCUAAUACCGGAUAACAGUAUUUCUCGCAUGAGAGAUAUUUAAGAGUUGGUUAUGCUAACACUAUGAGAUGGCUUUGCGGUGCAUUAGCUAGUUGGUGGGGUAAAGGCCCACCAAGGCGACGAUGCAUAGCCGACCUGAGAGGGUGAUCGGCCACACUGGGACUGAGACACGGCCCAGACUCCUACGGGAGGCAGCAGUAGGGAAUCUUCCGCAAUGGGCGAAAGCCUGACGGAGCAACGCCGCGUGAGUGAAGAAGGAUUUCGGUUCGUAAAGCUCUGUUGUUAGGGAAGAAUGGAUAUGUAGUAACUAUACAUGUAAGAGACGGUACCUAACCAGAAAGCCACGGCUAACUACGUG